rnacentral:rRNA from 1 species
UACGUAGGGUCCGAGCGUUGUCCGGAAUUAUUGGGCGUAAAGGGCUCGUAGGCGGUUUGUCGCGUCGGGAGUGAAAACACCGGGCUUAACUCGGUGCUUGCUUCCGAUACGGGCAGACUGGAGGUAUGCAGGGGAGAACGGAAUUCCUGGUGUAGCGGUGAAAUGCGCAGAUAUCAGGAGGAACACCGGUGGCGAAGGCGGUUCUCUGGGCAUUACCUGACGCUGAGGAGCGAAAGCGUGGGGAGCGAACAGG